AGGUGCUGAGUGCUAAACACAACUUAAUUUUUCAUUUUUAGAAGACAUUCUUAACGAUAACAGCUACUUAAUUAGUUUGAUCUUCUGAGCAAUUUAUCACAGUCUGUGUAUUGGGAUACAAACAAGGUCAUUGUAUGACAGGUUCAAUUGGAGAGGGACCAUUUUGUGCAUGCAAUCUGGCAGACGUGUGGGAUGUGGGAAAAGGUGACUGACAGCAAUGAACGGAAACGUUAAAGGAGACACAAAAGGUAAUCCACUACUUUUGCUGAACUGCUCCUCAGAUGGUUUUGGAGAGGUUUCUCCAGACAGCAUCCCUCCCUUCUUUUGUGUCAACUGCACUACUCAGCUUGGUGUAAUCAGCAUAUUUUUUGAAGGUACUCUCAAUCAAUGUCUAUGCCAUUAUUAAAGUUGCUGAAGAGUACUGGUCCCAAGAUGAACCCCUGAGGGACACCAUUCAUGAAGGGCCUGCGCCAGGACACGGAGCCAUUGACCACAACUCUCUGGCUGUGGCCAUUCAACCAGUGGUUUAUCCAAUGAACAAUCCACCAUUCAAAUCCAUAUCCCUGCAAUUUAGAGCUGGAGACACCUGAAAGAAGUCUGAUUUUCAAUAAAUGGUGAGUUUUUACUCUUCUUUUUAAAAUGUUGCUACCACUAUCCUUCCAGAAUACAGUCUACCAUUCCAGUUGUGAUUCACAAAACUGUCCGUUGUACUAUGUAUAAAUACACUGAAAUAAUGACAUGUUCACAAUGUCCUUAUCACUAUGUUCUUCAUGUUUUCCAGGCAGAGUUUUCCAAUUAGCAAGAUUCAGAGCGCGUAGAAUAAACCAAAACUAUUUGCUA